GACGAACGCUGGCGGCGUGCUUAACACAUGCAAGUCGAGCGGUAAGGCCCUUUCGGGGGUACACGAGCGGCGAACGGGUGAGUAACACGUGGGUGACCUGCCUCUAGCUCUGGGAUAAGCCCGGGAAACUGGGUCUAAUACUGGAUAUGACUCCAUGACGCAUGUUGUGGGGUGGAAAGCCUUGUGCGGCUAGAGAUGGGCCCGCGGCCUAUCAGCUUGUUGGUGGGGGAUGGCCUACCAAGGCGACGACGGGUAGCCGGCCUGAGAGGGCGACCGGCCACACUGGGACUGAGACACGGCCCAGACUCCUACGGGAGGCAGCAGUGGGGAAUCUUGCGCAAUGGCGAAAGCCUGACGCAGCGACGCCGCGUGAGGGAUGACGGCC
rnacentral:rRNA from 1 species